GUGCUACUUAUUGACUAAUGUUUCUUCAUUUCUUUUGCACCAGUUAUAUAUAAACUCAUGUAGAAUGAUCUUUCAUUGGUAGCUGAAGUGUCUGAAGCAGUUUGAUUGAACUCCAUGUGACACCAACACUGCUCAAGGCAAAAGGAAAAAAACCAGCACCAACCGAGUCUGUGGAAAAGAAGCGUUGGUAGGGAACAACCGGCAGAAAUUCCUUUUUGCUGCUUUCUCUCUUGUGUGGGCCUCAACUCUUUCUUGUUUGUCAAAAGUGAAAUAUCGUCCAGGUGGAUAUCAGUCAUAGUGAGGUAAUAAAGUAAAACCUGCGGAGUAGUUUCAAGACUUUGCCAUUUAAUCUAUAUACUCCCAAGAAAUUAGUUGUUGAAGCACCCUUGUGGGUUGUUAUUAUCUGUUCAUUUCUGCUGUAGUGUUUGCAUUAAAUAUUGGCUCAUCAGCCCUAUGAGACUGUCCAGGAGAUGGGGAAAGGAAAAAAAAAAAAAAAGAGGAAAGCAGACGUUCUGUAAACACAUACAGUUUAUAACCUCCUUUAAUGCAUCAGGUUUUGGCCAGCAGCCGCACUUUGCAGUGGUUGGAAUAGUACGCGCUUUAACACUGCACGAAUGUCUUUGGCAAGGAGAUGUCUUUUUCAGGAAAAAGCACUCAUGUAUUUGAUUGAAUGCUUUGAAGUGUUGAGAUACUGUACUCUGAAUUUGGCAGACACUUCUUUUAGAAGUUGAAUAAGUACGCUGAGUUUGCGUUGCAGGCCUCCAAAUAGUGCUUCAGACAACUGGGUUCGAUUUUGGAGAUACCUUUCCAGUGCUUGAUAAGUGACAGAGUAGUCAGGUAGUUUUUGGUGGCUGCUGAAACCCUUAGAAUACCCAGGGCAGAAGUACUAGUGAUUUAAAUUGCUUCUUUUGAAGUGCACAACAGCCACCUGUAUGUGCCUUCACAGCAAAGGUGGCAGUAUGCAUCUUCAUCUUCUCCUUUAUUGGACAAAACUUGCAAGGCUAACUGAACCUACUUCUUCAAGUGUGUGGAAAUGACAUUUGCCAGUGCAGUUUAUGGAAGCCCAGAUGGCCUCCAAAUGAUUCUCCCAUGUAGGGGUGCUGGAGUGAGCCUUUGGGGUGCCUAACAAAGUGACAAACUUGAUAAAUACAGAGUGUUACCAUUUCUGUCAUACGAAAAAAUAUUUAAUGAUGUUCUUUGCUUCUGAAGAGGGAAGUCCCAGUCACAAACCUGCUGCAUUUAGAGUGAUGUUUCCACUGAGAUUCAUGAAGUGGUGCAGUGCUCUGCCAUGCAUGGAGACAUGUCCUUUGACAAGUGACAACAUUUUGAAUUGGGAGAAAUGGGAGUACAGACUAGGAAGCACCUGGCUGAGAAGCAGCUUCACUACACAGUACUUGCGGUUUACAGCAGAUACCAGGCUGAAUAUGAACCAACAGUGCAUUCACAUUUUGAGUAAGGCAAACAGCAUACUGGCACAUACCAGAAGGACAGUCAUCAGGAGACAGAAGGACAUUAUUUCCAAUUGCUCAUGCUGGUGAGUUGUUUGACUCAUUCAUGCUCAAUGUCCACUCUUUUACACUGGCGUCUGUUGGAAUGGCAUGUUUUGUGUCCUGGUAAAUGGGUGAAGGAGAAAAGGAGAAUCAAGCAGAAUGACAUGCCAUGCUUAUUUUAAAAAUCAGCCUUGUUGCAGAUGAGAGUAGCAAUGGUGCCAGUGCACAGUGACAUGUACAUCAGUACUAUAACUUGACUGCUUAAUUAGUGUACUACAGCAUUAAAAUUUGGCAGAGCUGGUCAAAUUCUGAACUUUGCAUUUUGUACUCCAGCUUUCUUCUGCUUCACUUACUCCAGCCUGGAAAGCCAUAUGCAGGAUACAGAAUCCAGACUAUCAACCCUCAGAUUGCCAGUAUGAUUUUUUCACUGCCUCCUUUAGUAGUAUUCUAUUUAGUGUUCUCACAUAAACUUGAAAGAUUUAUUGGAAACAUUUAUUCCUGCCUUGCAAUUGCAUACACCCAUUCUUUCAGAAUUCUGUAAUGCUGUUUAUACAUAUACUAACAGAGCUGUACUCAAAUCUGUGUCAGAUGAAAU
ensembl:lncRNA